rnacentral:lncRNA from 1 species
UAUAAACAAGUAGGGUGUAGGCAGUCCUCUAUUUGCAUGUUUCCCAUGGGCACAAAUUUCAGUGACCUAGAUUUAGUUUAAAUACCAGUUUCCUUACCAGGAAGGAAAGAAAACUGGUAAGGAAACUGUUGUUGUUAAAAUCUAGGUUAAAAUUUUAGUUAGCACAUUGUAACUGAGUAAUUACAUGAAGUACAAACCUCUCUGCUAGCUCUUCAGUCUACAAAUCGCUAUGUAAAUAACAGAUAUGCUUCAUGAUUGUGACCAGUCAUGUUAUUUCUUUCAAAUUCUUCCAGUGGUUUGUCCCUGUGCAUCUGUUAAUUCAGUUCACGUACAGCAGAGCAUGUAGUUAUGCUGUCUCUCUGUCAUCUACUUGACAUUCUAUAGAAGUGAACACUCGAAAGAACUGGUCAACAAAGAUGAAAGUGCAGCAAAGCAAUGAAAAAUGAUAACACUGGAAGUGAAAUUUUAAUCAAACAUAAAUGAAUUUGUAGAAGAAGUCACUGACCAUGGGAAUGUUGUUCUUGCUGCUGUGUAUUCAUAGGAGCUUAGUGAAGGCAAACUUACCAACACAAAUAAGCAAAGUGGUUGCAAUAAAGACAGAUACGUCCCAGAGGAAGUGAUGGUUAAAAAAAAAAAACUUUACAUUAAAAGAUAUUUAAUGUGAAUAUAGAAAUAUUUCACAACAUUGAAAGCACAAGCAAUAAAAGGGUGGAAGCUGACCCAAACUUAGAAGGAGUAUGGCAGUUUGCCGUGAACAUAAAAGAUGCUUACUCAGUAUGGUAAGUUACUUGCCAGAAAAAAAGGCAAGCCCUAUUCAAACUACUUUGUUUUUACAAUGAAAUAAAACACUUUAAUUCUAUUUCUAAUGUUUUAAAUUACAGUGUACUAAAUAUUUUUAAACAUUUUUGCAUUUUUUUCUACAUUUAUAACUGGUCUUAAGAGUUUUUAAUAUUUGAGCAGAACCUUAAAGGUCAUGGAACAAUCAUCAUUUUCCCUAUUGAUUAUUAAGAUUGCAGGACCAUUUUUAUGGUCCCACAGUACCAUGUGAAAUGAGGAUCGCUUGUAGCUGGGAACAGUGCUUACUUCAGGGAAAACUGAUUUUGAUAGAACCGACUAGUUGAGUAUUAAACUGUUUUGGAAAUAAUUUAUAUAUCUAAGUGCUGAAAUAUAUUUCUCUUCUCCCCACUUAUUCAAAUAAAAAAGUUUUAAUACUAUAAACUUUUCAUUGUUAGCGCCACGCAGUCCUUGUCAAGAUUGUUCUGGGGGACAAAAACUUGAUGUAUAAAGCAUGAAUAUACACACAGUACUUAAACAGAUACCAUAUCUGUGGUAUUAAAAUUUUGGGGGUGGUUGAUUAGGAUUGUAAAAAGACUCCUUAGGGAGUGAGGAUGGAAAAGAGAAACACUGGUUAAUACAGAGUAU